ACGCUGGCGGCAGGCCUAACACAUGCAAGUCGAGCGGUAGCACAGGAGAGCUUGCUCUCUGGGUGACGAGCGGCGGACGGGUGAGUAAUGUCUGGGAAACUGCCUGAUGGAGGGGGAUAACUACUGGAAACGGUAGCUAAUACCGCAUGACCUCGCAAGAGCAAAGUGGGGGACCUUCGGGCCUCACGCCAUCGGAUGUGCCCAGAUGGGAUUAGCUAGUAGGUGGGGUAAUGGCUCACCUAGGCGACGAUCCCUAGCUGGUCUGAGAGGAUGACCAGCCACACUGGAACUGAGACACGGUCCAGACUCCUACGGGAGGCAGCAGUGGGGAAUAUUGCACAAUGGGCGCAAGCCUGAUGCAGCCAUGCCGCGUGUGUGAAGAAGGCCUUAGGGUUGUAAAGCACUUUCAGCGAGGAGGAAGGCGUUGUAGUUAAUAGCUGCAGCGAUUGACGUUACUCGCAGAAGAAGCACCGGCUAACUCCGUGCCAGCAGCCGCGGUAAUACGGAGGGUGCAAGCGUUAAUCGGAAUUACUGGGCGUAAAGCGCACGCAGGCGGUUUGUUAAGUCAGAUGUGAAAUCCCCGAGCUUAACUUGGGAACUGCAUUUGAAACUGGCAAGCUAGAGUCUUGUAGAGGGGGGUAGAAUUCCAGGUGUAGCGGUGAAAUGCGUAGAGAUCUGGAGGAAUACCGGUGGCGAAGGCGGCCCCCUGGACAAAGACUGACGCUCAGGUGCGAAAGCGUGGGGAGCAAAC
rnacentral:rRNA from 1 species